UGGGGUUUCGGCUCAGUGGUAGAACGCUUGCCUCACACAUGCAAGACCCUGAGUUCGAUCCUCAGCACCACAU
rnacentral:tRNA from 1 species